GUCGAGAAUCUUUCACAAUGGGGGCAACCCUGAUGGAGCGACGCCGCGUGGAGGAUAAGGUCUUCGGAUUGUAAACUCCUGUCAUGCGUGAACAAGGUUGCUUGGUUAAUACCUGGGCAAAUUGAUGGUAACGCAAGAGGAAGAGACGGCUAACUCUGUGCCAGCAGCCGCGGUAAUACAGAGGUCUCAAGCGUUGUUCGGAAUCACUGGGCGUAAAGGGUGCGUAGGUGGCGUGGUAAGUCAGAUGUGAAAGCCCGGGGCUCAACCUCGGAACUGCUUCCGAUACUGCCAUGCUCGAGUACUGGAGAGGUGACUAGAAUUCUCGGUGUAGCAGUGAAAUGCGUAGAUAUCGAGAGGAAUACCAAAGGCGUAGGCAGGUCACUGGACAGUUACUGACACUGAGGCACGAAGGCCAGGGGAGCGAACGGGAUUAGAAACCCGUGUAGUCC
rnacentral:rRNA from 1 species